CACGAAGGGGGCUAGCGUUGCCCGGAAUGACUGGGCGUAAAGGGCGCGUAGGCGGACAUUUUAGUCAGGCGUGAAAUUCCCGGGCUUAACCUGGGGGCUGCGUUUGAUACGGGGUGUCUAGAGUGAGGAAGAGGGUCGUGGAAUUCCCAGUGUAGAGGUGAAAUUCGUAGAUAUUGGGAAGAACACCGGUGGCGAAGGCGGCGACCUGGUCCUUUACUGACGCUGAGGCGCGAAAGCGUGGGGAGCAAACAG
rnacentral:rRNA from 1 species